CAGAACAAGCCAGUGUGUGCCCGCGCAUAUGGACACCAGCACAUCUCUGUGCACCGACCACGGGAGUAGGUGGCCCGACCCGGGAUGACCUCUCAGGCAUGUCCCCGAAGGAGCAGAGCCGCCAGUACCAAGCAGCACUCUGUGACGCCCUUGCAGACAUUUGGAAAUGACCAAGAAUGACCAGAUAUUCAAUCCUCAGUGGACAGCCUCCCAACUGAUGAGUCAUAAUACAUUUACAAUAGAAAGCAUCACAUAACGUAAAGCGCCGCACAGUGACAUGCUGUACAUAUUUUAGAAAUUUUGCUAUAAUCGAGACCAGCACUGGAGAUUUACAGCUUAUAGAAUCUAAGACAAUCAAUUGUAAGAUGAAUCACUGUUUUACCUACCACCAAGGAAGAAAAAACGCUGCCAAUUAAAGGAUCUAAUUAAAUGGUUAGCUCUGCCCUGAUCUCAGCGAUGUCACAGGGUGCGUCCUAGACCCAGCGAGCUCUGGCAGCUGUUCCUCUGUCUCUGAGAAUUAGCUGAGUGAGCCAGGAGCCUGCUGGGUCUUGAGGGCGCUGCCUCUUCCUUGGUAGGCUGAGGGUCACUGGGCACAGGCACAGUUUAGCAGAUGGAGAAAGUAACUGAUCUUGAGACAUUCAAGGAAAAGGUCGGCUCUGAUACCUGACCCACGAGUGGAACAUGGGAAAACAAGUGAACUUCUCUGAGUGGGGAAAGUCUGGGGACAUUCCGCCCCUGAAAUGUGGAGCUCCUGCAGGCCUAUGAGUGGAAGGGAGGAGGUGAGGAAGGAAGGAAGGAAAAACCAUCUCUAUCAGCCCUGACCACCCCCAGAGGAGGCCACUGCAGGAAAUUCAAUUUGGCUGACUUGGCUGUGGGGUGGGGAGUCAGUCAGGACUUGGGGGGAACAGGGAGCCCAGCAAGAUCAAAGCAGAGAGAGAAAUAAGGGAGAGCUUUACAAUCAGGGAAAGGCUGUCUGUGGCCCCUGAUUGCAUGAGAGGCAAAAGGGACACUGCGGAGUCAGAGGGAGGCCAGCAUUUAGAGGAUGGGACAGCAGUGGCACCAUCGACACAGGAGACCUGGAGAGGAGGCUAGAGUGAGCAGAGACAGGAACUGGGGAUGGGCAAGUGGGAGUGGUUUGGGUCGUGCUGAGUGUAAGGGGAAGAGGGCCGCCCAAGGAGAAGGGCCAGAAAAAAAGAACAAGAACGGAGGUUGAGAGGGGAGCAGCUCUCUGAAGGGGAGGGGAGACGGGCAGGAGGGGAGAAGGCUGGGUUCCUCCCACUGGGACCUUUGUAUUUUCCUUAAAAGAGAUUCAUUAAAUGGACAACUAAUUAUGACUUAAAUGUUAUACCUUAAUAAGACUUUCCAUCUAAAUACUUUCACAAAUCAGAAACUAUCCUUUUGUCUGGCCACGUACCUCUUUUUGCGAUUGAGAAAAACCUGACCACCAUAAAAACGGCAACGCAAGGGAACCCAUCAGCAAAUGUAUUUCUUGAGCCUCUGUGUACUGACUGGCUGGCUUUCAAAGACUUCUAGCCCUCAUUUUUAAAUAUCAUUUUGUAGUUUUUCAUAGUACUUUUUUUACAUAUGAUAUUUCAUUAGAUAGUAACAACACUGUGAAUAUUUAAGGCAAAAAAACACAAUAUCCUCAGCUCAUUUAUUCAUUCAUUCUUUCGUUCCCCCAGACUGCAACCACCCAUGAAUUUGUUUAGUGACCUCCCUCUCCCUUCACCCCGAGUCCUUAAUGCUGCUGGAGAAAUUGCAUAGCCUUGCACACUGGUGUCAUUUUUCCAAACAAUAUUUAUUUAACAUUAUCAGGUAUUCAGUUAGUGACCACAUUUCCAAUUGUCUCAUAAAUAUUAUAAAUUGCUUCCCACCGUUUAUGGGAAUCACACAGGUAAUGCUUACAGAACGUGACUGAUGUGUCUCUUAAGCCCCUUUUAGUAGAUCUGUUUCCUUCCCAUUUUCCCCCCCUUGUAAUUUGCUUGAAAAACACCAGGUUGCAUACCCAGCACUCCUCUGCAGACUGGGCUUGCCGAGCAUGUCCCUGCGGUGUCGCUUAGCGUGUUCCUUUGCCCUUCGGAUUAUCUGGAGCUCAGUGGCUGGAUACAGAAGCUCAAGUAGAUUCCGUCUGGUAGGUGGGGGUGUGUUCUUUCCCUCAGGAAAGCUUGUCUGACGUUCCUCUUUGUGAUGUAGCAGCCAUUGGUUAUCAAUGCCAUAAUCCUCCCCCAAAGUUACAUUCUAUUCUAUCAUUCCUUCUUCAUUUAUAGCUAAAAGUCUUCUAGAAACAGAAAAUUCCCAUCUACUAUUUGUUUACCCAAUGGCAACACAAACAAAACAAGUGGAAUAGGAUUCUUUUCUUUUAUUUACUAGUGUUCAAAAUGAGCUAGUUUGUACUCAGUGAACUGGUCCAUUAAUACCCUCUAAUGGUGACCAAUUAGUUUAGUUUUUUAAAUUUUCAUUAUGAGCUCAUACUAACCAUAUCUGAUGUGUUCCAGUCCAUUACAGUUUUAGCCUUACUGAUGCUCAAAACUUUCCUUCUUCCGCCAGUGGGAACCUCUUUGGGUUGGCUCCUGGUCCCCUUGACAUGACCCCUGUGGUCUUUGAUUGGCUCCUUGCCUCCUGGUACGACAGUAUUGAUUCAUCUACAUUUUCUGUUCCUAAGAUCUGGAAUCAAUCAUUUCGCUAAGAAGCCCUGAUUCUUUUUGGUGGAAAAAGGAAUUUCAAGACCACAGUUGGGUUCUAUGAUGCCUAUGAGUUUUAACCUCAUGAUCUCAGUGCUUAACCCAGGACCAAUGUAUGGUUAAACUCAUUUUCUCUGAGACAAUUUUUUCAGCCGUCUGCUCCUUCAUCACACAGUCCAUCCCCUCCACCCCGACCCUCAGCAGAUUAGCUGGCCUCAUCCUUCCCUGAGAGAAGAGCCCUCAUCUUCCAUCACCCACUCUCCCUCAUCAUCUUCCCGGCAGCGAUGGACCCGUUUCUGCUUCCCUCCACACAUGCUGGGACUCGGCCCAUCUUCCCUCCCUAAGGACUUUGUUCCUUCCCUUAUCCCCGCUGUCCCAUGUCACCCAUCUCUGCCUCUCUCCUGGGUCCGUCCCAGCGGGGUACAAACAUGCUGUAGUGUCCCACAUCCCCUCUCACUGCGGCCCUUCUCAGAGAUCAUGAACUUAAAACGAAGCCAUUCGGCAAGAUGGUGGGGUUUUUCUGGCAGGGUUUAGAGCUGUUGGGAGCACGCUGGACAUGCCCAUGCAGAGCUAUCAACGCUACACGGAACACAGGUAAACCUCGCCCAGGCCCAUCUCUCCUGCUGACGACUGAGAGCAGCCCGUUACUCAGGCAGUAGCUGGCCACCUGCUUCCUCUCCUGGUCGUACAGGACGUAGAGCGAGUCAUUCCCCCUGCUUGUCACAGCUUCUGAUGGUACUUGGGUGAGGUCUCCCCUCCUGCCCCCACUGUCCUCCCACCCACCUGCCUCCGUUCUUCCCUCAUCCCUGGUCCCAGGCAUGCACCCCUCGCUUGGUCCUGUGACUAUGCCAAGCCCCAGCUCAAGGUGCCACCGUCCACCGACUGGGUUCUUCUCAGCUUUCCUUCUUCAGCCUACACUUGGCCCUGCAGAGGGGUCUGACCACAGCUUCCCUACCACAUUCCUGUCCCUCUGAAUCCUUCCGGCAUCUGCGCUUGCCUUGCUCGUCUUCACUCAGACAGAAUCGCACAGGAGUUCAAUGCAAGGACCUGGAGACUGACGGGCUGGGACUGAGUCCUGGACCUACCCUUCCACGCUGGGUGACCUUGAGCAACUUAACUUCUUGGUUCCUCAGAUUCCUCACGUCUUAUAUGGAGGAGUUGUGAGAAUUAAGCUCAUUGAUAUUUGUUCAAUGUCACGUGGGACAGUGCCUGGCCCGCAGUGGGCACCACGUAGGUGUUAGCCAUCAAUAUGUAUGUCCCCAGUCCCACUGGCUCUGCGAAGCCAGGGCCAUGUCUCUGUAGGUGCUGCUGGGCACCCAGCGCCUGGCGUUCAAUGAAUCCUUGCUGAGUGGAGGUACAGAGGACGCGUGAACACCUGCUUGGAGCUGGCUGGGAAAGUGAGCCUCUUAAGUAGACCCUGGGCAAAUGGCAGCACAGAUGACACUUGCCAUUGUCCCUCAUUCCCACAGUCUAGAAUUGACAUACUGAUGCACAAGGUAACGCAAGAAAACUCGAGCAGCUGAAGUCAUCAGAAAAGGCUGGAUGAUGAGGUUAAUGAGGUUAAUUCACGGGCGCUGGCUCUGCGUUCUCCAUUGUAGGCAGCUGAGAGCCCAGGAAAACAGGGCUGCCCGUCAAAGCAAGCUGACGUGUACUGGUGGAGAGGCAAGCAUGCAAACCUGGUGAAGUGGAAAGGACAGGAAUGGUUUCUGACUUGCUCAGAAUACCAAAGCCCUGACAGGACUUGCUAUUGACACCAGGUCGCCGAACUUCUCACUCAGACUUUUCUUUUGGCCACCCUGAUUUCACAUUUUAUCUAUUUGAGAGAACUGGUCUUUGCACUGUGUUGUGUGUUGCUGACGAAUUGGGCAGGCUAAGGUGGUUUUCCUCAUGUGCUGACUAAGGCACAGAUCACUGGUAUUUCCAGCACCGCUCCAGAAACUGGAGACCCACUUGUCACUGGACCCACGGACAUAUUUCUACAGGGAGUAUGGAAGAAAAAGGUAGAGUGAAAUAAAAAGCUGACAGCGGCUGAAAAAAUACUACUGCAUUUUUGCAGAUCAAGCUAUGUUUAAACCUCAAAACCGAACAUAAAUCCAUGUAAGACGCACAAAAAAUGAUAACUAAAAGAGGACCUGCCAGGGUUUAUGAGCACAGUAAAAAUCAAAAGGGACCUGUUGCCCCAGGUCACUUGGCUCAUAUCCAGCCUGUGAGCCUUCACUUUUAUAGCUUCCUGAAGAGCCCCUUGUUAAAAGAGGUGUUCUGUUUGAUUCUCCAUGAGGACAUGGCUUUUGUACUAGAAAAAUGUCUUAACAGUUUGUGUUUUUAAACAUAUUAUACAUUAAAAACCUGUGAUGACACCACGCCUGGCUCCUGUGAAGCCUUGUAAGCGAGCUGAGUGUCUUCAGUUACAGAGCUGUUUUUUCAAGCUCGAAUUCCUUCCUGCCUUCGAGGCCCAGCAGACCACCGGUGCCUGCACAUAUUUAUUUAGACAAUAAUAUUGACUAGACAGCCAGAUUUUUCUCACUCUCUUUACAUCCGGAAGGCUUGCUCAUAAUUAGUGAAAUAAGCUUUCUCUGCUUCUCUGUGCCAAGACUCUUUAGGAAGUAGUGAGGACAUAGACACAAUUGUCUCUGCUCUCUCUUUUCAUUCUCUCUGCCACACCUUUUCCCAUUCUUUCCACAAUCCUUCGUACAAAAUGUGACACUUCACACCGAGCUGCACAGGGAGGUCAGCUCUGGGGGAAACACCUCUUCAGAGGAAGGACUUGCUCGCCUUCCCCUGGGCUCAGCCCCUUCCCGCGUCGCCCCCCUUUGGCCAGAGGGUGAGAGUACAUCUUCGCUCCGUGUCGCUUGCCACAGCUUUUCUGAGCACAAAGAGCCUCAUGGGCGCUUUUCACAGUGACGGCGCAGAUGAAAACACUGUGUCUCGCUCAGACAGCGGACCGGGGUCAUCAGCUGGAAGCUUUGAGGACUAACUGGAAACGGACUUCCCAUCCACGUGUGAAAUGAUUCCUCCCUCCCUCUUCAGUUCAUGUUAUAAAAGGAAAGAGGAGAAGCGAUUACAAGAAAAAGAACAGGAUGCAGUUGACAAAACAUGAGAUGAAAGUGUGGUUAGGUGAGGAAAUUGACGUUGUCUUCACAGUGACCCUUUAUCAAGUCACCCAUACCUUUCAGAAUCUGAUGAAAGAUACACACUGUUUCCCCAGGAAAACGCGGAGGAGCACAUGGAUAAUUUGCCUGUUAUCGCAUGUGAUUCACUGAUACACCCCAGUCCUAUAUGAACCACAGGCCAACAAUUUCUAUUUUAGAAGCAAGUUAGAAGAAACUGGUAACAAAAGUACUUCUAAGAGUGGUUGGGAAAUAAAUCUUAAUGACGAAGACAUUUCCAAGGAUAUGAGGAAACGCAGAGCUGACAUCAUGCACAAGAAGAGGAUGAUGAACUGAGGGCUCGUCAAAGAAAAAUGUUAAUCUACUGGGUGGGUCCUCCUGUUACAGGAACAUUUCCACCAUCGAUGCUAAGAUGUGUUCCAUUCCAUGUAAUUUGUGGCAGGGGAGAAUUAGUCCCUCUGAACUGCAGUAGAUCACGCCACCUGGAAGUGUUUUAAACACAUCGACAAGCGUUCAAUCUCAAAAAUGGUUCGCUUUUGUAAAUUUUUGUUUUGUGUUGCUUCCUCCUGUGGGUUGAUAGUUUUCCAAACGGUACAUUUUCAAAGGCUCCUGCUUCGCUAAGGUAACAUGUUUUUAGACACUUAUCUGGGGUCAGGGUGAACGCGUACUCUGGCACAGUCACAAAAGAGGGACAACAGCAGCCAGGACAGGCUGCUGCCACCCAGAUCUGAGUGCCUCAGCAUGGCGGGAAUUGAUUUCUCGCUCGUGCAAAGUCUGCUGUGGCCCCAGCAGCUCCCCACGCCAUCUCUCACCGAUGUGUUGGCUCAGUGUUCUAAGCUGCUCGAAUCCUUCAGCCCCUUUAUGUCACCACUUACUCCGUUGUCACUGUGGGAGAGAAGCGCUGAAGAUAUGAGCACCACAAUCACAUGCUUCCCCCUGAAAGUGUCUACGUUGCUCCCAACCACAUUUCUUUGGCCAAGGAAGGUCACAGAGUGAUGCCUAAUUGUAUGGAGAUGGGGAAGCACGGUCCAUCAGUGGGCCAGGAGAACCAAGUGAUGAUAAAAGUUGUAAUGUCUGUCACAGGGAUCACUGGAACACAUUUGAAAAUGAAAAUAAAUUCUGAGGGGGCCGGCCAAGUGGCUCAGUUGGUUAAGAGCG